GUGGGGAAUCUUCCGCAAUGGACGAAAGUCUGACGGAGCAACGCCGCGUGAACGAUGACGGCCUUCGGGUUGUAAAGUUCUGUUAUACGGGACGAAUGGCGUAGCGGUCAAUACCCGUUACGAGUGACGGUACCGUAAGAGAAAGCCACGGCUAACUACGUGCCAGCAGCCGCGGUAAUACGUAGGUGGCAAGCGUUGUCCGGAAUUAUUGGGCGUAAAGGGCGCGCAGGCGGCGUCGUAAGUCGGUCUUAAAAGUGCGGGGCUUAACCCCGGGAGGGGACCGAAACUGCGAUGCUAGAGUAUCGGAGAGGAAAGCGGAAGUCCUAGUGUAGCGGUGAAAUGCGUAGAUAUUUGGAAGAACACCAGUGGCGAAGGCGACUUUCUGGACGAUGUCUGACGCUGAGGCGCGAAAGCUAGGGGAGCGAACGGGAUUAGAAACCCUGGUAGUCC
rnacentral:rRNA from 1 species